rnacentral:piRNA from 1 species
UGGAAGGUUUUCUUGAUGAGACCAGUC